AUUGAACGCUGGCGGCAUGCUUUACACAUGCAAGUCGAACGGCAGCGCGGGCUUCGGCCUGGCGGCGAGUGGCGAACGGGUGAGUAAUGCAUCGGAACGUGCCCAGUAGUGGGGGAUAGCCCGGCGAAAGCCGGAUUAAUACCGCAUACGACCUGAGGGUGAAAGCGGGGGGCCGAAAGGCCUCGCGCUAUUGGAGCGGCCGAUGUCGGAUUAGCUAGUUGGUGGGGUAAAGGCUUACCAAGGCGACGAUCCGUAGCUGGUCUGAGAGGACGACCAGCCACACUGGGACUGAGACACGGCCCAGACUCCUACGGGAGGCAGCAGUGGGGAAUUUUGGACAAUGGGGGCAACCCUGAUCCAGCCAUGCCGCGUGCGGGAAGAAGGCCUUCGGGUUGUAAACCGCUUUUGUUCGGGAAGAAAUCCUCUGGGCUAAUACCCCGGGGGAAUGACGGUACCGGAAGAAUAAGCACCGGCUAACUACGUG
rnacentral:rRNA from 1 species